rnacentral:rRNA from 1 species
GACGAACGCUGGCGGCGUGCUUAACACAUGCAAGUCGAGCGGUAAGGCCCUUUCGGGGGUACACGAGCGGCGAACGGGUGAGUAACACGUGGGUGACCUGCCUCUAGCUCUGGGAUAAGCCCGGGAAACUGGGUCUAAUACUGGAUAUGACUCCAUGACGCAUGUUGUGGGGUGGAAAGCCUUGUGCGGCUAGAGAUGGGCCCGCGGCCUAUCAGCUUGUUGGUGGGGNGAUGGCCUACCAAGGCGACGACGGGUAGCCGGCCUGAGAGGGCGACCGGCCACACUGGGACUGAGACACGGCCCAGACUCCUACGGGAGGCAGCAGUGGGGAAUCUUGCGCAAUGGGCGAAAGCCUGACGCAGCGACGCCGCGUGA